GUGAACCAGAGUAGAGAGAAACAUGAGGAGCAGAAUGAUUCCGUGACCAUCCCUACAUAUCAAGUUAGUGAGAGUGUAGCGAGCAAGAUGGAUGCAUAUAAAAAGUCUGCAGACCCCAUACCUGAACUACUAAAACAGAGCACUGAGACACAGGAAAUGCAGGAAAAUUCCAUGACCACCUAUACAGAUAAAGUUAAUGAACAUUUAGAGACUAAGGUCGGUGCAAAAAUAUUGUCUCAUCCAGCCAUCGGCUUAGUAGCAUAUAGUAGCAGUAGUGAUUCUGAAUGUGAAAGUGAGGGAAAUGACAGGACGGGAGUCACAGAGUCAAUAGAUGUGAAGAUGAAAACUCAAGCAUCUUCAGAGAAGGCUUCAGACCCUGUCCCUGAACAGGUGAAUCCUGAACAGGUGAAUCAGAUAUACAUUGAAAUAGAGAAGGUGCAGGAAGAUUCCAUGACCACCCCAACAGAUGAAGUACGUGAACUUUUAGAUGGCACGCUUGAUGCAGAAGUAAUGUCCCUGCCACCUUUAGAAGCAUCCUCUGAGGAGACCCAUACAUUUGAAGUUAGUGAGAGUGUAGAGACCAAGUGUUCAGAACUUGCACCUGAACAUGUGACGCAGAGCACUGAGAUGCAGGGAGAUUCCGCGCCAACCCAUGCAGUUCAAGUAAGUGAGAGUGUAGACACCAAGCUUGAUAUUGAAGUAAAUUCUGCUCCACCUGUAGAACUAUCCUCUGAGGAGACUUCAGACAUUGUCUCUGUCUCAGAGCAGGUGCUGCAGAGCAGUGAGACACAGGAAGUCCAGGAAGAUUCCAUGACCACCCGUACAGAUGAACUUAGGGAAAGUUUAGGAACAAAGUCGGGUGCUAAAAUAAAGUCUCCACCCUUAGAGGUGCUUUUCAGUGCUCUAAAGGAGUCCAGUCUUUGCAAACAUCCCCUGUCUCAUACGAUGCGCUCAAAUGUCAAAGAGUUUCUGGGAGUAGAGGAUUCUUUAGAAAUCACUAAAAAAGACUGUGACUUUGGUGUAACGGAGAGCAUUGAGUGUACUUUAGACCUCGAGACUCCGAUUAUUGUCGAGGAUAUGGAGAUCGGCCACUGUGUUGUGGAGGUGGUGGGAGAGAAUGGAGAGGAGGUGGAUAGUGAUCUGGAAAUCAUAGACAACUCUGAGAGGCCAGAGAAGACACUUGAGCUAACCAAAGGGUCUGAAGAAGAGUGCAGUGUGGAUAAAAGUGAAGAUGGUAUUGAAAAGAAAGGCACAAGUUCCUCUAACCAAGACAGCACAAAUAGUGGGAAGAAGGAAGUUACUAAAAAAACACAGGGUAGCCUGGAAAAACCCAAGAAACAGCAGAUGAACCCUCAGGCCCGGACCAAAGCCCGACUAGCAGCGCUAGCUGAGCAAAAGGCAGCUGGCUCCAAAAAAGCGAGCAGGCAGCUCAACCUCCUGGCCCUAUGUGAAGAAAUAGCAGAUGAUAUCGCCACUGACACAAUGUUAAUAAAGACGAAGGAGGAGGAGGAGCAGGUUGUAAUAAUUAAGGCUGAACCCAGCAAGGAGCCAGAAUGCACACCGCCUGUCACACAGGCUGAGACUGUUCCGAUACCUCCUACUCCUGCCCGGCCCGAGGAACCGUCUCCAGCAGUAGAACCCUCCGCUGAGGAGCCUGCUCCAGCCAAGCCCCCAGCUCCAGAGCCACCUCGGAGGCGUUUCUUCAUCAGCCAAGUGACGGUACCCCUCAAAAUCCACGAGAAGAAGAAGCUUACCAGGUUCC
ensembl:lncRNA